UACGUAGGGUGCAAGCGUUGUCCGGAAUUAUUGGGCGUAAAGAGCUCGUAGGCGGUCUGUCGCGUCGGCUGUGAAAACCCGGAGCUCAACUCCGGGCCUGCAGUCGAUACGGGCAGACUGGAGUACUGCAGGGGAGACUGGAAUUCCUGGUGUAGCGGUGAAAUGCGCAGAUAUCAGGAGGAACACCGGUGGCGAAGGCGGGUCUCUGGGCAAUAACUGACGCUGAGGAGCGAAAGCGCGGGGAGCGAACAGG
rnacentral:rRNA from 1 species